UACGGAGGGUGCAAGCGUUAAUCGGAAUUACUGGGCGUAAAGCGCACGCAGGUGGCUGAGCGAGUCGAUUGUGAAAGCCCUGGGCUCAACCUGGGAAUGGCAUUGGAAACUGGCGACCUAGAGUGCGGUAGAGGGUAGUGGAAUUCCCGGUGUAGCAGUGAAAUGCGUAGAGAUCGGGAGGAACAUCCGUGGCGAAGGCGACUACCUGGACCAGCACUGACACUGAGGCACGAAAGCGUGGGGAGCAAACAGG
rnacentral:rRNA from 1 species